rnacentral:rRNA from 1 species
AUUGAACGCUGGCGGCAGGCCUAACACAUGCAAGUCGAACGAGUGGCGGACGGGUGAGUCAUAUCUGUGAAACUGCCCGUGGGAGGGGGAUACCUACUGGAGGCGGUAGCUAAUACCGCAUACCAUCGAAUGUGCCCAGGUGGGAGUAGCUAGUAGGUGGGGUAACGGCCCACCUAGUCGACGAUCCCUAGCUGGUCUGAGAGGAUGACCAGCCACACUGGAACUGAGACACGGUCCAGACUCCUACGGGAGGCAGCAGUGGGGAAGAUUGCACAAUGGGCGAAAGCCUGAUGCAGCCAUGCCGCGUGUAUGAAGAAGGCCUUCGGGUUGUAAAGUACUUUCAGCGAGGAGGCGUUACUCGCAGAAGAAGCACCGGCUAACUCCGUGCCAGCAGCCGCGGUAAUUC